GAUGAACGCUAGCGGCAGGCUUAAUACAUGCAAGUCGAGGGGCAGCACGGUUAGCAAUAACUGGUGGCGACCGGCGCACGGGUGCGUAACACGUAUACAAUCUACCUUAAACAGGGGGAUAGCCUUUCGAAAGAGAGAUUAAUACCCCGUAAUAAAUUGAACGGCAUCGUUUGAUUUUGAAAGCUCCGGCGGUUUGAGAUGAGUAUGCGUCUGAUUAGCUUGUUGGUGAGGUAACGGCUCACCAAGGCUGUGAUGGCUAGCUGGUCUGAGAGGAUGACCAGCCACACUGGGACUGAGACACGGCCCAGACUCCUACGGGAGGCAGCAGUGGGGAAUAUUGCGCAAUGGGCGAAAGCCUGACGCAGCGACGCCGCGUGGGUGAUGAAGGCCUUCGGUCGUAAAGCCCUGUCGCAGGGGAAGAAUAAGCAUCGGCUAACUUCGUGCCAGCAGCCGCGGUAAU
rnacentral:rRNA from 1 species